GCUGGACGCGGUGGCGCAUGCCUGUAAUCCCAGUGGCUCGGGAGGCUGAGGCAGGAGGAUUAAAAGUUUGAGGCCAGCCUCAGCUAUUUAGAGAGGCCUCAGCAACUUAGCAAAACCCUAUCUCUA
rnacentral:sRNA from 1 species